rnacentral:misc_RNA from 1 species
UCAGCAGUGUUAGUGAGCAGCGGACGCUUCCUCACGCCUCACGCACCCCCGCCCUCUGCCGCGGCCGCGUAUCGAUCCCGUGUAGCGUGACAUCUUCCCAUGCCUCAGGUCACCAGUUGCCUGUUGCCGGUACCGGGUCAGGUCACAGUGCCAUGAGAGGUCAGAUUGGUAGUGAUUUUUUCAUAUGACCAGUGCACACCCGCGCCACGCUGUGUGCCCCGCGGCCUGCCCAGCCCCGCCCCUCCUACCCGCCGUGUGGGUGUUGACCUUGCGCUGAGUACUGACCUUGUGCGUGGGCCGUGACAGUGAGGUGGAGUGCCCCCUCCCCCACAUGGUAACUGGUGCCAUUGAUCUGCCGGGCAGGAGGCAGCAGCAGCAGCAGCAGCAGCAGCAGUUGUAAACUGAAGCAGUGGUGUCAAACUCGCCAGUGGCAGUGGUGUCCCGCCGCGCCGAGGACUCGCUGCUUGAUGCUGGUCACCAACGCACGGUCGCACUUUGAUGACCAUAAAUAACAGCCGCUGUACAUUUCCGGCCGUGGAUAUUCUUGACUUGAGGUGUGCGUGAGUGGGGGAGGGAAGGUAGACGGUGUGUGGGUGUGACGGCUCCCGAGUAAAGGUGUAGUGUGUGUUGCGAGGCGGUGUCGCGGGUGUGGUGCGGGUGUACUGUAUAGGUAGUGUGGUGAGGGGACAGCGGACGCCGUGCAUUCUCACCCGCCAGUGUCACCAUCUGGUCACCACAAUACAUGAUCAAUAGUUCUUGUGUGAGUGCCACCACACACUGCAGGAGGAGGCGUGGACAGCUUGGUAGGAGCAGCGCCGAGGAGCACCAGCAGAGUGGCAGCCGCGGUGUCGGCAGCAGAUGGUGGUGGCCCUCCUGGUGACAUUAAAGUGAUAGUAGUUGAAGAACCAGGAGCAAGAGACAGCGAGCACAGGGGACAGCGGCACCACCGUCACCAUACAGCAGGCUUUCUUUAGUACUCGCCUCCACCACCCCACCCCCCUCCUAUCGAGGCCCUCACGACCCUCACCAUGGCCCUCCAACACCCGCCACCCCCCGUCCCCCGCCGCCCUGACUGUCAAGUGCCCGCCAGGAAAGAGUAAUAACUUAUCCACGCCCGCUCCCACGCCCGCACCCACGCCUACCCACCUACAGUCGCCACCACCUCCAAUACCACCGACACCAUGCCGUCUUCGCCUCAGCGGCAGCAGCAGCAGCAGAAGCAGAAGCAGGACGCCCACGGCAGCCAGGACGCACGGAGGAAGCGUCGGUGUGGCUGCCAUCUGAACAGCCUCGGCAGCCUGGGUUACUGCGUGGUGGUGCUGGGACUCACUACCUACGUGAUCGCCACCGAAGCGCAGCAGUUCCUCAAGUACCUGAACCUCCCAUGGCCCCGCCACAGCCUCCCCAACCUCGAACUCAACGUCCAUAUCGGUUUGGUCGGAGCGGCAGCCGUAUUGCUCUUCUUCUUCUUCGGAGCAGCGGUAUUCAAGAUCGGGAACUUCGCUAACGACGGCUACAGACUCGGAGUGCAAGAUGGAGCAUGUUCCCGCGACGCCCCACCGCUUCCUGGCCCGGCUGGCGGCUUGGUAAGGGGCGCCUGGCUGCACGGAGGUCCCACGGCGCCCUUCCUCCAUCUGCUGGUCGCCCACUUGCUCAUCGUGGCUAGACUUGUGAUUGAGGCGGCAGCAAUCAAGGCCACCUUUCUGUCCGAGGGCACGGUGUGGUGGUCAGAGUUGUCCCGCGUGCUUCCUCAGCGGGAACGUCUGUCCAUCUUCAAUCUCCUGGCCACCUACGCAGGCACUCCCACGCCCGCCACCCCAGGUCCUGUGGCCAUGAGGUACGAGGCGUCCACGUCGGUGACCUUCCAGGCAAUGGACAUCACCACCCGCAGGGACGGCGAGGGCGGGGCGGACGGGGAGGAGGGUGUGGAGGAGGAGGACAUGUGGCACAUCGGAGAGAUCCCGUGGGGGCCCUUCUCGCCACACUUCUUUAACUACCUGCUGGCACACCUGGUCUACGCCGGCAGGUACGCCGGCGUGUUCUGGGGCACCAACAAGGCUCUCGGUCUGGUUUUCUUCUUCCAGCUGAUCCUGAACGCGGCGCAAAGUAUCUUUUCCAUCAACGGAUUUCAGGUUCUUUACAAGGUUCACGUGGUGGGCGCCGAGCACGUGCUGCCAGUGUUUGAGGGCUUCCUGCUGCCCCUCCCCGCCUGCGUCGCCGUCUUCACCGCCUCCCAGGUCAUGGUUCUCGCCUCUGGUUCCAUCAUUUACCUCUACGGCUUCGUCAAGUUUAAUUCUUUCCUGAGCGCAGAGAAGGAGAAAUAUCACAUCCUCAGCAAGCACGGCCACCAGGUGAGUACGCCUUGGAGCUACUGGCCUCACUGCUGGGCUCUGACGGUGCUCGUAGCGAUGACUGCAGCCGCCUCCCCGCUGGUGUAUGACUGGACUGUCGUGUAUCGUUCCUCCCUGGAUACUUCGGUCCUCGCUGCCACUAUAGCCACCAUCGCUCAUCUCUUUCUGUGGAUUCUCUUGUGGCUUGCUCUCACUCUGAAGUCCCGUUGGCACUUCAAGCUUCGAGUGCAGAUCUCUAAGACCAUCGUCACCAGCACGCACUCCAUCCGCCUGGUGAACGAGGUGCAGCUCUCUCGCCAGAUCGAAGACACGGAAGGCCCAGUGAUGGUGAUCGGUGCCGGCAAGACGUAUCUGCUGCAGGAGGGAAGUCCUAAACGAUCCCUCAUGAAGCUCGUAAUGCACACCGUCACUCAGAAGAAGGCCCGCGGGGAGGAGGAGGAGAUCUACUGGCUGCGCCCUAAGCCCCCCCAAGGUAGUUCGGGAUCCUGGCACAAGAGGAAGCAGUCCCCGGGCGUCAAACACAAGGUUACUUUCAACGAUACGCCCUCCACCUCCAGGAAACGAGACUCCGGGCGCGGCCAGUGUCCCGACGUGCUGGGCGACCUCACCGAGUCUGAAACUUCUGACAGCGACGGUGACUACGCGAGGCUGCGAGACGUGUCCUUCCCGGGGCCCACCAGGAAGCUGUCCAACAAGGUGAACGCGGCCCGGCAGAUUAUUUAUGUCUUACAGGAAGAGCAGGCUGAGGAAACUAACGCAGGAGGUCAGGCUGAAGUAUCCCAACCAGAGCCAGAGUCUUUGUCAGUGGGCGGAGACUUCCCAGCCCCGCCCCCCGAACUCACUGACCCCGCCCAUUAUCCACCCCCACCCUCCACGCCGCCACCACCCCUCCCGGCACCCCCCGAGGCCUGCAGUCCUCCUCCCGGCCCGCCAGCAGUCCCCCAACAUGCUCCACAGAUGCUUCAGCAGCAGCAGCAGCACCACCACCAACAACAACAACAGCAACAGCAACACAUAACCCAGGCGUCGCAGCAGCAGCAUCACAUCCAGCAGCAGCAUCACAUGCACCAACAGCACCAGCAGGUCCAACACCAGCUGCAGCAACAACAGCAGCAACAACAAAUGCAGCAACAUCUCCAACAACAACAACAUAUGCAGCAACAGCAACAACAACAGCAAAUGCAGCAACAACAACAAUUACAGCAGCAACAACAACACCAUCUCCACAGCCAGCACCAUCAGCACCCACAGCAGCCUCCCCAAGUACCACAGCACAUGACUCAGCCUCACUUACAGCAGCAACACCUCGCACAGCCUCACCCUCAGAUCCACGUGCUGCGGGGCACCUCUCAGGAGAGCAGCCCCGGCCGCAGCGGAGAGUCAAAUCUGGCGGUGGGUGAGGUGCCGCGUUGCUCGGACUCCUCCUCCACCGCCUCCUCCGUCAGCCCCCCGGACAAGCGCUGUGACUCUGGUAUCCACUCGCAGGCAUCCUACUCCUCCUCCUCCGCCUCUCACUCCAAGUCGGGCUCCUCUGGGUCGGAAAGCUGCGUGCCCAUCCCACCGGCGGGGCCACCCCGCUGCUCCAGCGUAGAUGACCUGUGCCGGACCCAGCCCCCGCCGCCGCCCCCGGAACCUACUGUGAAGAGCCUAUCCUUGCAAAGGGACACCGUGCCACCCACUGGCAAGGAGGCUCCUCCGGGAAAGGCGGGACGACUGAACAUUGAGGUGGUGGGCGGAGGCUACGGUUUCUUGCCACCCUCUAAGUUCGUGGCGUCCGAGCCGGUCUACAGCGACGCCUCCACGCCAGUGGUCAUCAAGAGACGAAGCUCCGUCACCGCCGUGGAACCCGACACGCCUCCCUACGAGCGCUCGGGCUCCUCCUUCAGCACCUUCACGGAGCCCCAGCUGCCUCGGGCGGUGCUGAAGGGCAACCCGUAUCCAGCCGCCAAGUCACAAACGGUUGCGGCUCACGGCCUGCGCGCCCGGCGGCUGCCAGCAGCCGACGCCAAGCACGCCACCAUCGCUGGGGUAGUGCCCCCCAAGGGCUUCCAUCAGCCGGGCCACAUCGACUCGCGCUACUUCUCUGUGCCCGCCGUCAAGCCGCCAGGUACCCGUGUGCACCCGGCGCCCACUCCCACCCUCUCCUAUCGCACCCCCUCCCUCCACUAACUCUCACGCCCGUACGGGAGUGAUGGCGUAAAGCAGUGACUCGUAGACAGCACUCUUAUCACCAGCUGACAGAAGAACCACGAAACCAAAGACCGCUGCAGGCUUGCCACCAGCUGACAGGAGAACCGAAGGAGGACUUCUCGCCGGUCAGUGCACAGAAGUCCCACUCACCGGCGCACCAGGGCAAAGAUGACUCACUAGGUAGCUGCUAACGAUAAGGCUUGUGAGAGGUACAUAUCGCGUGGCCCAACACAUCGCUGAACGUCACACCGCAGUGAUAGUUUCCCUUCCUAACGGCAGGUUAAUUUUUCAAGGCUUGAGAUUCCCGAUGUCAUGGACCCAGAACCCAGUAGAGCUUCGUGUGGCCCAGCCGAGGCGCUGAUGUCAGAGUGUGAGUGUUGUGUGUGCGAGGCUCCCUACCGCCUCGCAUUGCUGAAAGACUUAUGUACCCGCCUCUUGGAAAUCGUCAUAUUGCCUUAUGGUGUUGGGUUGCUAACCUAGAUUUAUGGCAAGUCAAUGUGAUGUACCAGUGAAGUGUAUUUCGUACUGAUAUAGAUGACAGUUUACGAUGUACGGAGGGCACAAAUUAAUGUAACACUUAUUUAGUUUAUUAUUACAAUUUAAGGCAACUGUGAAUGCUUCAUUUUGUAUGUUAAUAUUAAUUCAUGAUACAAGAAUAAUCCCAGUGUAGCUACACUAUAUACCGCUGAGUUUUCUCUCAUAUGUUAAGACACUUCUGGUCUGAGCGGCAGACAGUGGCGGUGACGCCGCAGCAGGGGAUGGCGCCGCUGCUCCUGGCCGGACUCUUGACGCACAUAAGGGGAAAUAAAACGCGAAGAGCAGCAGCAGCAGCAGCAGCAGCAGUAGCAGGAGCAGGGCCGUGGUGGUGGUGGCGCGCCCCACCUUGGCUCCUGUGGGGUGCAAGAAUGCCCUAGUCUUGCCCCGGGCAAAAGCAGUGUCAGCCUCUGGUGACUUUUCUAUCAAGUGUAAAGUUUAUAUUGUUUUAUUAAUUUAUAGUCUAGUUGAUAAUUGUUCUGUAAGGUUAUCAAAAAAAAAGAAAGAUUUGCGCGUUAGGAGAACUUGUACAUAAUACCACUACCAAAGAUUUCAUACAGUGUACAUAGUUACAACGAUAUGUAGAGCAACGCGUGCCCUCCCUCCCUCUCCCCUCCCGCGUGAAUGGUGCUCUCUGGAGAUGUCUGAAUCAAAAAUUUGUUAUUGAUCGUCUCUAGUUGAUGUACUUGAAUAAUACUUGUCCUGCGCCCGUGUGAGUGUGUGCGUGGGGAGGAAAGGACCAUCACCAGAUUAGUCACAUUCCGCGAUUCUUUGGUUUCCAUUGUUUUCCCUCAUCAUCACUGUCAUUUGUUCCCUAUAUUCCUAAAUCACAUUUUUUUUUCUGACGAUUUUACUCCCACAAUCAUUUACGUUUUCCCAUUUUUUUCAACUACAGCAACUAGUUAUUUCUUGACUAAAAACUUGAUAUAUCUUAAUGGUCCAUCCAUAAUCAGAAAGUGUUUUCUUUCCGAACUCUGCAUUACAUCCUUCACAUCUACAAGAUAUACAUACUCUCCCAUACUAGAGAAAGCACUCGCACGGUAACAUACUGUAUAAAGCUUUGUCCUAUACCGUGAGUCCUUAGCGUGUGGCGAACUCAGAAUAUACCACAGAAUCGAUUAUAUUUCCCAAUCAUUCGUCUGUGGUAGCCUGGCAUCGAUAUAUUCAAGAUUCAUGCCUUCAUCCCCGCCGCCGCUGACCCGCCAUAGCUCUCCAUAACAUGCCAUGAAGUAGACAAAGGACUGUAUUCAGAAACACUUCCAGCCGCACCUACACUAUUUUUAAAACUCUAAUUGAAGGUUCAUGGAUUUUUAAGGGUGUUUUUUUUUUUUUUUUUUAAUAUAUAAAAAAAAUUGUUUCUAAAGAAGAAACAGUUUUGGGAACCAGGCUAAUCAUCUCUGCAGGCUUUGGAAAUAGUCGUGAUGAGAGCAAAGUGUUCUAAAUACGCGCCAUUGUCUCACCUCCACUCCCUCCCCUUCACGUAUCGUAUUCGUCAUAUUGUCAUGUCAUGGACGAAGUUGAUAAGUGCUGAUAUGUAACGUACGUGAGAGGUAUUAUUCAGGUACAGUUUGUGACGGCUUGGAACGCUUCUUAUUUUUCUUUUUCUUUUUUUAUUUAACGAACAGCAAAUGCAAAGAAAGAAGACAAAUUGUUUAUAAGGAUAUUCAAGUCUAUCUUUAAACUAUAUAUAUUAUUGGAUAAGUUUAUAUAUAUAAAAAAGUGAUAUAUAUAUGUAUGGCUAUAUAGGUAAUACUACACACCUCGAUACGUACAAGAGCAGCGUGGUGACGUGAUGCCGGGGACCCGCCGUGGCCAGACCAUCCCGGCGCUGACCUGCACACCUGAAGGCGGGAUCCGAGACACGAGUGAGGACCGUGUGCGUGAAGUUCUCAUCGAUGCACAGACGGUGAUUUUUUAUUGGAUUUUUCAUGAGGCAAAUUCCGUUAGAGGUUUAUACGAGUGUUGGUAUUACCCUCAGAUUCAAGUAUGUUAUUUUAUAUAUUCAUGUAACGGCUGUUAAUCUGCAUUUAUAUAAGUCAUUCUAUAUUGUAUCGACUUUUUUUUUCUUCCAACUCCAAAGCGCCUCCCGAUAUCUGAUCAGUGCCAGACAGACGUGCAGUGUGAUCUAGUGAUUUUUAUACAGAUUAAUUGUAUCAUAAUGGAAGAUGUACUGGAAGACACAUUCGCAAUAUACUCAAGCCAACAACUGCCACUCGGCCACACGUACACGAGGAAGAAAGCUAGGUGUUCCCGACAACCCUCACACUACAUCACCGUAACUAGCGUAGCGUGUCAGGUGAUGUUCGCACCUGCACGCGUGUAUAUAGAACGUUUCCAGGACUGCAUUCAGGCGUACCUGCAUCACCUAAUGUAUGCUGAAGGAUGCAGAUAUUUUGUAUGUACUUUAUACAUAACUAUAUGUUCGUAGGGUGAGGAAAGUGGAAUGUAUGGCUAUUCUGUAUUCUCUCCCUCAGCGGUAAGAGUGAAGUGUGAGAAGGACAGUCAGCCUCGCACCCUUCUCCCUCCCAUGCCGGGGCUCGAGUGUACGGCUUCCCAUGCCCAGCCUCAGAGAAUUACGUUUACUUUUUUCUUAAUUCUUUUUUAAAGCCGUCUUGUCCUGAGCAUCCUCGCCGCGGUCGCUCUUGUUCUCGUUUACUUAUGCAAAUGUAUGGACAUGAGAUCCCAUCAGGCAAAUCUAAAUUUUCUUCUUUUAACAUUUGAUGAGUAAUAGGUACCUUAGUACAUAUAGAAUACAGAGAUCAAAGAAUCAGAGCAAUAUAAAAUUCCAUUCGUCCUCCUGUGCAUUGGUGAAGAAAUUCAAAUGUUAUGUUUGCUUUGUUUGGAUGCCACACUCUCAGUGCUGAGGUGCGAGGGUGAAGGGUGAGGAGAGGCGGCCAGGGAGUGUGACAGUGCCAGCAGCAACGACAGGUCAACAAGCCCACACUCACCACUACCGCAUUAGCUGCUGGAAGGCUGAGUCAGUUUAAUAUCCAUGACGAAACGGUUUGCGAUCGGUGGAAGACUGGAAACUCUUGUCACCAACCACCAGUCUCGUGCCGCAAAGAACACGUCAGAAGUUGAUGACUGCGCUAUGUAGUCGGACCAGGACCGGAUAUUGAGACAGAGGUCCAUUCGUCUGUAUGUAACUGAGCCUCGCCUCCAGUGCUGAUGACCAGAAGCCAACACAACUUGAUUUUUAUCUCUUUGUCAUCCAGGAACUGAAGUUUCCCCACGUUUGAAAUAUUUAACUCUGUGUACACUCCUAGUUGUACUAUAUCAUGUGCUGUACAUGAAUGUACUUCUCGUAGCUUAGAUGUCAAAAGUACAGUAUUACCAAUGUCUGUGAACCCUGCCUUUGGAAACAUGUCACUGACUCGGGUACAGAAUCCUCCUUGGAGUAUCUGUGUAUAAAAGGUAACUAAAUUAUCGGUCAUAAUUCACAACCCAACGAGGCAUCCAAUGGCAGGCCUAAGCUAAAAAAAAAAAUAUUCAAACGACCAGCAUUGAUUUUAUUAGUCUAAUUAACAUUUAAUAUGCUUUUCACUUUUCUACUUAUUAAUGAUGCGUUUUUUGGUACACUAUGAAAAGUGAUUUACAUUUUUAUACCCAUAAUAAUUAAAGAUGUGGAUCGAGGGCCCUCAUGCGUGGAGGACUGACCCAAGGCCUCUGGACCCCACACACUGCCGCGCCUCACCAAGGCCUUGGCCUCACCCACCGACCACUCCCCACCAGCCUCUAACACUGCCCACUUUCUCUCCUCCUGUGUUCACUUGACAUCUUACAACAAAACUCAAAAGGGAAUAGCAAGUCACAUUUCCAAGAACAGUUCAAAGUCAACGGGUCCCCUGGGUGGGCCGAGGUACAGGCUGGUGGUGAUGUGCCUGCCCAGCGCCUCCAUCUCAGUGUUGUGAAGUUCAACCCUUGGUUAGUCUUCUGAUCGGAGAAUGAGUGCCUGUUCAACCUCACAGCAAUGUAUGUAUAUCACUUAAGGAUAAAAAUUAUAAAAAAAAAAUAACAGAUAUGUAGGCCAUUGUAUUUGUGAACCGGUUUGAUUGACUUAGUUGUUGUAUUGUCAUGAAUGGUUAUGAUUUUACGGAUAUUUAUGUACAAAUAAUUUAAGUUUUUAUGUGGCGAGGUGGUGCUAUGUGUGUGUGGCGAUGUAUUAUAUGAAGCCAAUAAAAUGUGAGGUCUC